UCUCUCUCUCGCUUGCUGUGACAGACGACGAAAGCGUACGAACAAGAGUGGGAAAAUAGGCAAUGCGACGCUCAUGUCACAUCUCCAUCGUCGAAACGAUGGCUCCGGCGACCGAGGAUUUUAUCGGAUUUAAAAACAUUUUAUCGACUAAAGCGUGAUUCUGGUGUUGCCUUUGCCAUCAUAUUUGUCCUAAAGGAGGAGGGGGACCCACCAUUCGAUAGUUGCUUGCAGCUG
rnacentral:lncRNA from 1 species